rnacentral:tRNA from 1 species
GCCGCCCUAGCUCAGUUGGUAGAGCGCCACUUUUGUAAAGUGGAUGUCGUCGGUUCAAAUCCGACGGGCGGCU